GUCUCCGUAGUUCAAUGGAUAGAACAGGGGACUUCUAAGCCUCUAAUAUAGGUUCGAUUCCUAUCGGAGACACCA
rnacentral:tRNA from 1 species